GAACACUGUGACCUCACACAUCACCAUUUGACUGAUUUUGGAAGUAGAAAACAACAAAGGAUUAAAGAAGAUACAGAAACGCUGAUUCAGUCCUUCAUUAACUACUUGGGAAUGUGGUGUCUGCUUAGUCUCCAGUAACUCUACUGUAAUGCAAAUAAUGUAAUUGCACAGAAUGUCCUUUAAAAUAAAUUGAAUGGCAAAAAGGAGCGUUCUAAAGCACAUCAUUAGGCUUCUGGGAGCCUGCUGUUCAUACAAACCACGGGAAAUUCCACCUGGACCUGAUGAUGUCAC